rnacentral:rRNA from 1 species
AUUGAACGCUGGCGGCAUGCUUUACACAUGCAAGUCGAACGGUAACAGGCCUUCGGGUGCUGACGAGUGGCGAACGGGGGAGUAAUGCAUCGGAACGUACCCAGAGGUGGGGGAUAACGCAGCGAAAGCUGUGCUAAUACCGCAUGUGAUCUGAGGAUGAAAGCGGGGGACCGAGCAGCAAUGUUUGGCCUCGCGCCUUUGGAGCGGCCGAUGUCGGAUUAGCUAGUUGGUGGGGUAAAGGCCUACCAAGGCGACGAUCCGUAGCUGGUCUGAGAGGACGACCAGCCACACUGGGACUGAGACACGGCCCAGACUCCUACGGGAGGCAGCAGUGGGGAAUUUUGGACAAAGGGCGCAAGCCUGAUCCAGCAAUGCCGCGUGCGGGAAGAAGGCCUUCGGGUUGUAAACCGCUUUUGGCAGGAACGAAACGGUGUCCGCUAAUACCGGGCGCUAAUGACGGUACCUGCAGAAUAAGCACCGGCUAACUACGUG